AGCUCCAACUAAAGUGUACGGUUUGCCAUCGGCUAAAAGAACAGAUUGUGGUGCAGGGACAAACGUCAUCAAACCCAAUAGCUGCUGCUCAACAAUGGUCGGAAUAUAAAAAGUUUCGACUUUGAAGUACCUUAUCGGAAUAAGCUCCACUGGUUUUAUCAUGUUUGUAUCCCGAGGGUUCGGUGGUAGAGCUUCUGAUAAAACCAUAACACAGACGUCAGGCUUUCUGGAAAACGUGAAAGAGGAUGAUGUCAUAUUGGCAGAUCGUGGGUUUCUCAUCGAAGAAGACGUGAAUCAAAGGAAGGCUUUAUUAAACAUUCCAGCGUUUCGGAAACAAGGAGGACAACUUUCAGCAAUGGACAUUGAGAGAACGAGGAAGAUAGCGACAGUUCGGAUUCAUGUUGAACGGGCCAUAGGCACUCUCAGAGAAAAAUACCAGAUAGUUACAAAUAGUUAAAAAUAGUAAAUAGAAAAAUACCAGAUAGUAGAUAGUUAUGAUCACAAGACGACAUAAUAAUGUUCCUUUAAUGGAUAUGAUCGUUCAUGUUUCAGCUAUCUUGGUAAAUUUGUGUAAACCGAUUGUCAACUGAUGACAUAUGUGAAUAAAAUACAAUCCUAGUUGA